rnacentral:misc_RNA from 1 species
UUUUUCUAGUAAGAGCAGCUGCUGAGUCUAAGCAGACUCUUGACUGAACUAGAGGGUAUGGCUAACUUGUCCUGGCCUCAGUGUGCAGCCUCUACAUCUUGUCUCCUAUUAUCUGCUGAGGCUGGGAUAGGUUGCAGAUCAUGGGGCCCUGGCCUUCUCUGACUUUCUGUUGCUCUACAUAAGUGGGAUGGCUGACUUCUCCUUAGAGCCCCCUCCGUCAACAGUCAUUCUUGAACUCUUUGUGUCCAUUACUCCCCUCUCAUCCAGUUAACCCUGGUGUCUGAUAACUGCAUUGCCUAGCGCUCUUCCCUCAUUGCUCUCCUAUUCCCUCCCCAGCGUGGUGAUGGUGGAUGAGGCACACGAAAGGACCCUACACACAGACAUUCUCUUUGGAUUGAUCAAGGAUGUUGCUCGCUUCCGACCUGAGCUCAAGGUCCUGGUGGCUUCAGCCACAAUGGACACUGCCCGUUUUUCCACCUUCUUUGAUGACGCCCCUGUGUUUCGAAUCCCCGGACGCAGGUUUCCUGUGGACAUCUUCUACACCAAGGCUCCAGAGGCUGACUACUUGGAAGCUUGUGUAGUAUCUGUGUUGCAGAUCCAUGUGACCCAGCCCCCUGGGGAUAUCCUGGUGUUCCUGACAGGACAGGAGGAGAUUGAGGCUGCCUGUGAGAUGCUCCAGGAUCGCUGCCGCCGCCUGGGCUCCAAAAUCCGGGAGCUCCUGGUGCUGCCCAUUUAUGCCAAUCUGCCCUCUGACAUGCAGGCCCGUAUCUUCCAGCCCACACCACCUGGGGCACGAAA